rnacentral:rRNA from 1 species
GUGGGGAAUAUUGGACAAUGGGGGCAACCCUGAUCCAGCAAUGCCGCGUGUGUGAAGAAGGUCUUCGGAUCGUAAAGCACUUUCGACGGGGACGAUGAUGACGGUACCCGUAGAAGAAGCCCCGGCUAACUUCGUGCCAGCAGCCGCGGUAAUACGAAGGGGGCUAGCGUUGCUCGGAAUUACUGGGCGUAAAGGGCGCGUAGGCGGCUCUGUUAGUCAGGCGUGAAAUUCCUGGGCUUAACCUGGGGACUGCGCUUGAUACUGCGGAGCUUGAGGCCGAGAGAGGGUGGUGGAAUUCCCAGUGUAGAGGUGAAAUUCGUAGAUAUUGGGAAGAACACCGGUGGCGAAGGCGACCACCUGGCUCGGUACUGACGCUGAGGCGCGACAGCGUGGGGAGCAAACAGGAUUAGAUACCCCUGUAGUCC